UAAAAAUUUAAAUAAUGUCACAUUUUUUUAAGUGAUAUAUAUAGUUGCAAUUGUAUAAAAUUUUAAAGUAUGCUUAUGGAAAAGUCAGCAACAAUGAGAUAGUAGAGUAUGUAGAAGGUGCUAGGGAGCCUGGAGUGGUAUUAGGUGAGUGAUUAUGAGUCAUUUCCCAUCAUUUUUCAAACUUUCUUGUAAUUUAAAAAUAUUUAAACAUAUUCAACUUACUAUGGGUUUAAAAUCCUUCUGUAUUUCUUGCAUGUUAAUGAAACCAUUAGAAGGAAAGGAGAAUUUAAUGAGCUUUCUGGGGGAAAAAAAGAUUUUGCUCACAGUUAUAUUGUAAAUCACACCAGAUGUUUUCCUUCAUAAAUAAAUCUUGUACUAAGUAGUGGGAUUAUUCUAAUAUGAAAAAAUGACAUUUGAAGAAAGCUUUUUAAUAGUAUAUGUGCAUUAUAUGAUGAAUGGUGAUGUUUUUGACUGGUGAAGUAAUUAUUUUAAUCUUGUCUCAUCAUUCACUUUAGUUUUGGUUUUGUGGUUGAGAUUUAAAAGCUAUAUUUUCAAAGAAAAUAACUCACCCAUAGGCUGGAGAGAAAUAAUUUUACUUUCACCAUGACAAAUGAUCUCUUCUGACUUUGUAGUUAUGACUUAAUAGUGUGAAUUUAAUGCCAGGUGAUCAAUGCAGUUGAUAAUAUUUUAGCAAACUAUUUGCAUUCUUAUUCAGAAGACUUGCCCCUCCCUUCUCAGAAGCAGAGUUUAUAAGAACUGUAAGGACAUGAUCAUUAGUCCUGCUCCUUGCUCCUGGUAAGGCGCCCCUAGCGUGUUCCCUAGGCUUGCUGGACUGCUUACUGUCCCCAAGGGAACGCAGGCGCCGACUCUCUUUGGGGGUGUGAGAAGUAACCGGGGAUGACAACCCCUCGGGGCCUCCACUGGUAAGGCUUGAUUAGAUUAUGCCUCUAUGGUUGACUAGCCUUUGAAUUCACUAGUCUGACUUUACCACCUAAAGAUUAGAGGUAGGUGGUAGUGCAUCUCACCGCUCCCCUGCUACCCCACACACGCACAUGUAUGUUCUCGCACACAGGUUUGGUGUGAAACAACCAACUUACAUCCUUUAAGAGAAAAAGAGUCUGGUGGGGUGAGUGUGAUGAUGGAAAGGAGUAAAUCCAAGUUUCCAAAGUAGAGACUAGACAAUGGGGAUGCGUGCAAACAGUGCUGGACAACUGACAUCUACUGACUCCCCAGUGAAACGCCGCCUGCGCUCAGUUAUUUAGGGACCAAUCAUCCAGAGUGUGGAUUAUCCAGGCCAUAUGCUUCUCCUCCUUUGCCAUCUGGCUGGUUGCCUGCUUCCCUUCCUAUGAACAUAGAAAAUACUCAAAAUACCUUAGUCCAUUUCUGCCAAACCUUUUCUAUUACCUCUAUCAAACCUCCCUUUAAGCUUAUUCAGUGCACAUCCUGAUCAAAUCUGGUCACUUGGCAUAUUCUGAUUCCUCGCAGGGCACAUUGGUUAGUUUCUAAUGUACAGUCUUGUGCUCCUUGAUCCUUGCUUCUUAAGAGUCCUUUAGUAUCUCUCGUAUUUACUAUUUAUCACUUGAACUAGCUAGUGAGCUCCUUUACAGCAAAGGAUAUCUCCUCUGCCUUUAAUAUCCUCUUCAAAUGUCCCGGAGAGCUCCUCUUCACAAGGUGGGUGUGGGACAAGUAUUGUUGGCUAAGUGCUAUUCAUUGUCGUUUCAACCAGAUAAGGCAUGAGAAAGUCAUAACAGUAAGGAACAGUAAGCUGAAAUACCAUUUGCUAUAAAAAUAAAACUAGAGAAUCCCAGACUUUUAGACUCAGAAGGAGCAUUUAGAGAUAAUUGUAUCUUCUUGAUAGAGAACCUUGGGCUCAGAGUAGUGAAGGGCUCAGAGUAGUGAAGUAACUUGUCUUUGGUCACUCACCCACAGCAUUUGUGGUGGAGCCAGGACUAGAAUUCAUAUCUCUAGAGCCCAUUUCUCUUAUACUCCAGACUUCCAAGGAUUAUAUAGAAGUGGAGUUAUGCAGAAAAUAUGCAGAAAAGGGGUGACUUAGGAUAGUUUUCUAGGAGGAGGAUUCUAUAUUAGUGACAGAUUACAAAGAUCAAAGAAAAAUUUUAUCUCCCUUUUGAAUAAAUUAAUCUUUGGGGGUUAUCUAUAUUAUAGCAAUUAUUUGGAGUUAUUUUUAUUCAUUUUUAAAGAGUGAUCUAAAACAAAAGUUGAAAAGAUCUCAUCAAGUACCUACAACAAAACUGACACAUAGUAGGCAUCAAUCAAUAUUUGUUGAGUGAAAGAAUGAAACCCAAACUCUCAUUUUCUAAGGACUAGGAGUAUUGUCUAGUUCCAGUAUAAUCAAACCCAUUUAUAAAAAGUUUUAUAGUCUUUCUUUGAAUCAAAAGUUUCUUAGCCAUGUAUUUUAAUUGACUCUGGGCAAAUAGUUCAGCCACAAAUUACAGUAAACUUACUAAGUACCUGUUUGUGAUGUCAUAAAUUACCAGAGACAGCUAGUGCCCUGGCACUUACAAAUGAAAUGUCCCUUGAACACUUUAUGAUUUUAUCCUGAGCACUUCAGAUAUGAUUAAUAUAAAUUUCCAAGAGCCUGGAUGCUUUGUUUGGCUGGUUGACAUGAAGCAGUUUCUUGCUGGAGGCAAAAUGUCACUGGACCAUGCACUAAUCUCUCUCCCCCACUCCCCCUACAUUUACCCAUUUCUAGGCUGAUUAUAUAAAUAAUGUGUUGUCUUUUUAAUUAAGUGAAAGUUACUCAUUAUAGGUGCUUUUUAACUAUCUGAACUUAUCUCCUAAAUAGGUCUUGCAUUAUCUGUACCCAAAUGAGAAUAUGAUUAUUCAGGCAAGGCCACUCUAGAAGAGUGUUUAAAGCAAGGAGCUGAGAGUCUUCUCCAGCUCUGCAUGCCAUAGUAUGUAAGAGCAGCACUAUCCAAUUAGGAGCAGAGGAGACAGGGGAGGCGGGGAGAGAGGCCAUGCUUACCCAGCUUGUUCAACUUGAUGACAUUACGGUUUUCAUGAUAAAGUCUGCAAUAACCUUUAUCUUUUUAUAUUUAAUUUAAUGGCCUUGAAAUCUGGAGAAGCCAGCAGGACCUCAUUUAUCAUGUAGCAAAUAUCAGCCUCUUCUGGUACAAUAUUUUGUGCUAACUAAAAGAGACAUGAAAUUAAAAAUAGGUCAGGAGGCUUUCCAUUCCAGUUCUGUUGAUUUAAGUGGGGCAAUGGGGAGGGCAGGCAAAACAUUGGUUUCUUUUAAGUGAUAUUAUGGAGAAAAUAAUCUAUUAAUGAACAAAAAGAGAUGAGAGCAUUAUGAGAAGACUAAAGAUUAUGUUUUGUGAAAUGAGUUCUUUCUAAAGCAUCAAAGAAGUAUAAUGACCAAAACUAUUUCAAGUUCUCUACAAGUGGUUUUUGCUUGAAGAAAGUCAGAAUGUUAUUUAUUUCAAAUAUUUUCAUUUGUCUUUAUGUAAGGAUAUAACAGAGGAGGUAAAUGUGUGUUUUACUAAAUAACUCAUUUAUCCAUAAGACAAUAAAUCUAAGUCCUCCAGGAAAUUUUUCUCAAAAAGAAUUAUUUUUUUCUAAAAAAAAAAACUAAACAAAAAUAAUAGUGCUUUUAAAAAUAUGUUUGGGAAGACCAUGGCUUAUCAAUAGAGUGGAUAAUGAAUCAGAGACAUUAUAGCUUUUUUCAAAAGGAAUUUUUUUUUUCUGAAAAAAAAAAAAAAAAAGAA